rnacentral:rRNA from 1 species
UACGUAGGGGGCGAGCGUUGUCCGGAUUUAUUGGGCGUAAAGAGCUCGUAGGCGGUUUGGCAAGUCGGGUGUGAAACCUCCAGGCUCAACCUGGAGUCGCCACCCGAUACUGCUAUGACUUGAGUCUGGUAGGGGAUCACGGAAUUCCUGGUGUAGCGGUGAAAUGCACAGAUAUCAGGAGGAACACCGGUGGCGAAGGCGGUGAUCUGGGCCAGUACUGACGCUCAAGAGCGAAAGCGUGGGUAGCGAACAGG